GACGACUGGGAGACUUACGUCCGCUCCCGGGGCGUCACCUUCGACCUGCUCUCGGGAAGGCCGGGUGAGACCCCCGGGGUCGUCGC
rnacentral:tRNA from 1 species